rnacentral:rRNA from 1 species
AACGAACGCUGGCGGCAUGCCUAACACAUGCAAGUCGAACGAGACCUUCGGGUCUAGUGGCGCACGGGUGCGUAACGCGUGGGAACCUGCCCUUAGGUUCGGAAUAACUCCCCGAAAGGGGUGCUAAUACCGGAUAAUGUCUUCGGACCAAAGAUUUAUCGCCUUUGGAUGGGCCCGCGUUGGAUUAGCUAGUUGGUAAGGUAAAAGCCUACCAAGGCGACGAUCCAUAGCUGGUCUGAGAGGAUGAUCAGCCACACUGGGACUGAGACACGGCCCAGACUCCUGCGGGAGGCCGAAGUGGGGAAUAUUGGACACUGGGCGAAAGCCUGAUCCCGCAGUGCCGCGUGAGUGAUGAAGGCCUUAGGGUUGUAAAGCUCUUUUACCCGGGAUGAUAAGACCAGUCCCGGGAGAAUAAGCUCGGGCUACCUCCGU